rnacentral:rRNA from 1 species
CGCUAUCACUCCUACGGGGAGGCAGCAGUAGGGAAUCUUCCACAAUGGGCGCAAGCCUGAUGGAGCAACACCGCGUGAGUGAAGAAGGGUUUCGGCUCGUAAAGCUCUGUUGUUAAAGAAGAACACGUAUGAGAGUAACUGUUCAUACGUUGACGGUAUUUAACCAGAAAGUCACGGCUAACUACGUGCCAGCAGCCGCGGUAAUACGUAGGUGGCAAGCGUUAUCCGGAUUUAUUGGGCGUAGAGAGAGUGCAGGCGGUUUUCUAAGCCUGAUGUGAAAGCCUUCGGCUUAACCGGAGAAGUGCAUCGGAAACUGGAUAACUUGAGUGCAGAAGAGGGUAGUGGAACUCCAUGUGUAGCGGUGGAAUGCGUAGAUAUAUGGAAGGACACCAGUGGCGAAGGCGGCUACCUGGUCUGCAACUGACGCUGAGACUCGAAAGCAUGGGUAGCGAACAGGAUUAGAUACCCUGGUAG